UGAAACACCUUCCCACUAACGAGAUGGACAACCAGCACAGGUGAAACACCUUCCCACUAACGAGAUGGACAACCAGCACAGGUGAAACACCUUCCCACUAACGAGAUGGACAACCAGCACAGGUGAAACACCUUCCCACUAACGAGAUGGACAACCAGCACAGGUGAAACACCUUCCCACUAACGAGAUGGACAACCAGCACAGGUGAAACGCCUUCCCACUAACGAGAUGGACAACCAGCACAGGUGAAACGCCUUCCCACUAACGAGAUGGACAACCAGCACAGGUGAAACGCCUUCCCACUAACGAGAUGGACAACCAGCACAGGUGAAACACCUUCCCACUAACGAGAUGGACAACCAGCACAGGUGAAACACCUUCCCACUAACGAGAUGGACAACCAGCACAGGUGAAACACCUUCCCACUAACGAGAUGGACAACCAGCACCAACAGGAAACAACCACCUCACAACAUAAUCAGCUUAAAUGUACUGCAGUCUCCAAUAUAAACAUGGUGUCUUGCCUGUCAAUAAUUAAAAGCCACCUUUUUUUAUUUAGUUUUUAAAUGUGUAUGGGCUUUUGUUUUUUGUUUGUAUUUUCUAAACUUUUCUUAUUUACCCUUUUUUUUGUUUUUUUGGACAUAGUUUGCUUAACUCUGAAGUUUUGGAAAAACUCACGAAUGCUUCUAUAAUGCAAAAACGUACAGUCAAAAUAAAUUGUGAGCCAGAGCUACUACCUAUUGGCUUUAACACAACUUAUUGACUGAAAGACAAUCAGCAACCAAGUUGUCCUUUACCACAGACAUGUCUGAUUUCAAGGGGAGACUCCUGCAACAUCCAUAGUAAAUUUUCUCUCGUGGUUAGAGCGUUGGACUAGUAGCCGGAAGGUUGCAAGUUCAAACCCCCGAGCCGACAAGGUACAUUUACAUUUACAUUUAAGUCAUUUAGCAGACGCUCUUAUCCAGAGCGACUUACAAAUUGGAGAACAUUUACAUUACAUUUAAGUCAUUUAGCAGACGCUCUUAUCCAGAGCGACUUACAAAUUGGUGCAUACACCUUAUGACAUCCAGUGGAACAGCCACUUUACAA